CAGUGCCAAAACUAAAUAACCUUUUAAAUGGAGAUGAAUGUAUUGCAGAUUAUAUUUUAAAAACAUUACAUUAAUGAUAACGAAAACGCCACGAGCUUACUACAUAAUUUACCAGAUUUUAAACUACUAUCAAUAUGCAUUGUAUCCGAUCUCAAGAAAUCGUCGACACUUAUCAACAAAUUUAGAUUACAGCCUGCCAAGAUUCGAAACAAUAAAAAUAUUGAAUUCAAUGCAAGGGUUCAAAAGAGAGCGAAAGUUUUUUAGAUUGGCUUACCCCUAUUUGUCAGCUCAAUAUGGAUUGCAACUUUAUCGGAUACGACAGGGUUUUAGAAAAAAUAAAGGAAAUUAAAUACAGAAUUAAAGAUUUACUCAUUUUAGAUGACAUUAUAAAGAUAGGCAAAGAGUUAGACGAAACUGAGAUUGAAACUACAUAAGAUUGUUCUGAUCUAAAACAUUUGGAGGGAGUAAGACAAGAUAAGAAAGUUUACGGACAAAAACCAACUAAUAUAUGAUAUGACAAUACCCAGAUGAUGCCAUAUACUGAGAGCAACUGAGUUUAUGAUAAUAAUUACAAACAUCAGUUUAGACAACCAUGGCAGACUCGACCAUUAUAUGGCAACCAAAGAUUUAACAACCAAAAUAACUAUCAUUUUCCAAGACGAAACUAUUAUAGAUUUCAUGAUCAAAAUAGAUGGGAAACUCCUUAUAUUCCUUUCAAUAAUCACGACACAAGAGAUAACAAUAAUAGAUUUAAUAAUUACAAUUAUGGAUAUAAUAAUAAUUACAAGCCUUUUAAUGAUUUCAAAAACCACAACGGAUUUGACACAACAGACAAUCGUUUUAAAAUUUUAGAGGUUAUAAUGGAUCCAACGUGCAUCAACAAUUUUACGAUCGUGAUAAAAAAAAUUAUAUGUCUCCUAAUCCUAGACAUCAAGCGCCUUAUUUAAAUAAAAUCAGUACAGUUAAUAUAGAGGAUAUCGAAGACGACAAAAUCAUAUCAAACGAUAAUAAAGAUUAUAAUUUAUUAAAUAAUAUAAAUAACGUAGAAAACGAAGUUCAAAAUAUUAAAGAUGAUGCAUAUAUGGUGAAAAUCAAAAUUGAUAACGUUUUAACUUCACUACAAGUAGAUACGGGCAUGAGAUUUACAAUUCUACCUAGUAUAUGAUUGAGAAAAUAGGCAUAAAAAACAUUACGAAGUCCAACAUACAGUUAUCAGGUACGGCAAGACGAUACUAGGCACGCAAGUGAAUGUAGAAUACGAAGGGAAUUCUCAAAUUUUAUAUGCAUUAGUCGUAAACAGCAGCAAGAUGCCUUUACUAGGAACAUGGUUAAAACAUUUUAAUAAUUUGAAAGAUCCAUAGGUAUGAUUGAUAUGGAUCAUAAAGACGAUUUGGCGGAGUUGAUAUCCAAUUGCAAGUCAAAAUUAAAUAAUAAACCUGUCAUUAAAACUCAAGUUAGAUUAUGACUAAAGUCAAAUGUUAAGUCAAAAAUUAUACCACAGAGAAGGGUACCUUAUUCUAGAAUAGAUAUUAUAACUAAAAAAUUAAAUACCUGGCUGGAAAACAAGAUCAUCGAGCCGAUAAAAGACGUCAGGUAGACAAGUCCACUCCCACCAGUUUUUUAAAAAAAAGGGAGUCUUAAAGACACAGUUAACCCAGCGCUUGAAGAUUUCAAAUACCCCAUACCUAGAAUUAACGAUUUGAUAGCCAAGUUAGCUAGAAGCAAAACCAUAUUAGCUAAAGAAUACUUUUGGAGGCCUGGAAUUAACAAUGAUAUUAAUAACGAAAUAAAGGAAUUCAAAUCAUGUAACAUUUGGGCCGAUAAUCCCAUCAACACACAGCAUAUUUGGAUGUUAACGACGAAGCCAUUCGAAAGAAUACACCUUGACUAUGCUGGGCCAUUUUUUAACAAAUACUGGUUGCUUAUAGUAGAUGCGUAAAGUAAGUUUUCUAUAAUCACGCCGGUGAAAUCAAUAAUCGAGGAAUUCACAAUAAAAGAAUUGAUGGUAUUCCAGAACAAAUAGUUUCUGAUAAUGGCCUAAACUUUACAAGUCAACUAUUCAAAAAAUUAUGUAGAGACCACUUUCAGACUUCAGACCACCAUUAACAGUCAAAUGGGCAAGUUGAAAGGAUGGUGAGAACUUUCAAAACACACAUGAAUAAGUGUAUGGAGCAAAACCAUAUAGAUAUAGAUAUGGCUCUUGAAAACUUUUUGCUCAACUACAGAAACACGCCUAACAGUACGACUGGUAUCCCACCAAGUUAAAAUAUAAAAAAGAUAACGACAACAGUUUGCUCACAGUUUUACCAAAAAAUAGAACUAUGGCAUAUUGGAGUAAAAUAUGGUAUAAAUGUUUUGGAGUAAAUAAAUGGGAUGAAGGCGUUAUAAUUAAAAAAAGUAACAUGCUAUAUCAAAUUCACACGAAAAAUGGUGUAUUAAGGAGGCACUUUGACCAACUUAAAAAAAGUUAUACCACUGACAAAAUUUCAUGCAUGAACCAAACACUUCAUCAACGGUUACAUUUUACAAAAGCAGAAAUGUUAUUGACCAAGAAAAAGAUUGUACAGCCGACGUUACGAGGCCUAGUCCAAAUAGAACAUUACCCGCACGAUAUCAAGAUUAUAUUUUGAACAUAAAAGAUUCACGUCCAAGAAGAACUUAAGCGGAGUUUAUUUCUUAAAGGGCAAUGGCGAUCUUUUUUUGAGUAGAUUCGAAGAUAUCUUCAAGGACACUCAGAUCACGGACAUCGAAAAAGCAGGUUUCUUUACAAGAAGACUACCAGAUGAGGUAUAUAUCAAGCUUAAAUCGAUAUGUUCACCUACCGACUUCAUCAAUCCAUCGAUAUUGAUUGAAAAAUUCAGGUUAUUACACCCAACGCAGCUGUACAAGGUAAAAACGAAAGUUACAUCGAUUGGAAGAUGAUACAACCGUGAAACAUGUAGAAAGGCAAAGAGGCAGGAAAACAGAAGAAAAUAAACAAUUGAUGAGAUAUGGAGACCAGGAACGACAAAAUUUACAAUCUAAUUAUGAUAACAGACAACGAUGGACAACAAGAGGCCAUGAAUUUCAAAGAAAUAUUUAUCAAGGAAAUAGUUAUAACCCCAGAUAUCAAGGAAAUAAUUACAACCCUAGAUAUCAGAAUUAUAACGCGAAUUAUUACAACAACGUCAGAGCAAACUAUCCAGGAUCGUACAAUAAUUCUUCGAGAUUUGAUAAUAGAGCUAAUAUAACAGACAUUAUAACGAUUCAAGAUGCAUUCAAAGAUAUAACGAUAAUCAUAAUAUUGGAAAUCGAGGAACAAAUCAAGUAUGCAAUUGUAAAUAUCAUAACAACGACAAUAAUCAAUCACGAUAUACAAAUAAAAUGAACAAGCUAGUGUGAAGAUGAUGUUCAAACGAAUGAUUAGAUGAUAAGGAUAACAAGCAAAAAUUAAUGAAAAGAUAUGACUGAGGCUAAACAACAACAAAAUAUCAAAUGAAAAUUCUACAAAGGAGAAAAAAAUUUUAGAGGUGGAAGAAGUGAACAAGUUCAAGAUUCGAAAAUUCAAAGUCAAGUUCAAAAGCUAGAAUAUGACAUACGACAUAGAAAAUGAUUGUUAUGAAUAAAUAAAAUUUUGUAAAAAAAUAUAUAUAAAAUUUUGAAAGAGAAAUGGGAUGAUCAAUACAAACAGCAAAUCAACAUUCAACUAACGACGUUUCAACAAUGAUGUUCAACCAACGAUGUUUCAUGAUGUUCGAUAAUCGAUUCAACAAACGAUAAUCAGAUGGUCAAACAAACUAUCUAAAGAUAUACGAACAAAUGACUAAUGGAGCAAUUGAGAAACAUGACUGAAGUGACGAUAAGAUUCACAUGUAAGAAAAACCUGAGUGGAGAUCAUUUUUUUAAAGGGUGGAAUGUCAAUAUGACCGAUUACUAACCUUUAAAUUGUUUUUUUUUAUGUUGAUAUAAAUUGAUUUUUUUAUAAAUUGAUAGAUUGAUUUUUUUAUAAAUUGAUAGAUUGAUUUUUUUUAUAUAAAUUUUGAUAUAUUUUGUUAUAUA